AGAGUUUGAUCCUGGCUCAGAAUGAACGCUGGCGGCGUGCUUAACACAUGCAAGUCGCACGAGAACGCUUCAGCUUGCUGGAGCUAGUAAAGUGGCGCACGGGUGAGUAACGCGUGGGUAAUCUACCUCCGAAUUGGGGAUAACACUGCGAAAGCGGUGCUAAUACCGAAUGACAUCUCAGGGACCUCGGUCUCUAAGAUCAAAGGUGGCCUCUACAUGUAAGCUACUGUUUGGAGAUGAGCCCGCGUACCAUUAGCUAGUUGGUAGGGUAAUGGCCUACCAAGGCUUCGAUGGUUAGCUGGUCUGAGAGGAUGAUCAGCCACACUGGAACUGACACACGGUCCAGACUCCUACGGGAGGCAGCAGUGAGGAAUUUUGCGCAAUGGGGGAAACCCUGACGCAGCAACGCCGCGUGAGUGAUGAAGGCUUUCGGGUCGUAAAGCUCUGUCAAGUGGGAAGAAUAUGCCCUGUGAUAAUACCAUGGGGCACUGACGGUACCACUGAAGGAAGCACCGGCUAACUCCGUGCCAGCAGCCGCGGUAAUACGGGGGGUGCAAGCGUUAUUCGGAAUCAUUGGGCGUAAAGGGCGCGUAGGCGGCCCCUUAAGUCAGAUGUGAAAGCCCUCAGCUUAACUGAGGAAGUGCAUUUGAAACUAAGGGGCUUGAGUAUGGGAGAGGGAAGCGGAAUUCCUGGUGUAGCGGUGAAAUGCGUAGAUAUCAGGAGGAACACCGGUGGCGAAGGCGGCUUCCUGGACCAAUACUGACGCUGAGGCGCGAAGGCGUGGGGAGCAAACAGGAUUAGAUACCCUGGUAGUCCACGCAGUAAACUGUGAACACUAGGUGUAGCGGGUAUUGACCCCUGCUGUGCCGAAGCUAACGCAUUAAGUGUUCCGCCUGGGAAGUACGGUCGCAAGGCUAAAACUCAAAGGAAUUGACGG
rnacentral:rRNA from 1 species